GAGUGUUACAUUUCAGAACUGUGCGAGUGUGAUAAAGUGCCACGAUGUUUGCCUUUUGCUUUAUUGGUGUUUGUGCUUUAAACGGUAGUUUAAUUAAACAUCCAGGUUUGUUUGUGUUUCUUAUCAUGGCUAGGUUUGUAGAACUGAAAACAGGAUCGGGGAAGCAGGAGGAGAGAAUGAGAAGGACGCGCAGAACUGUGUAAAGGAGUGAUUAGGCAAAACCGGUUUAUCAGGCCUUUCGCUGUGUUGUGAGAUAUCGAGAUUGCCUAUAGUCCACAUAUCGCCAUGGGAACCAGCAGGUUGAAGGCUCAUGGUGGAGGCAAUGGAGGGAGCAGCCAUGGUGGAGGCUUGCAUGAGAGGCAAGGCAGAACCAGGGGGAUGACUGACAGAGGUGGAGCCAGUUUAUGUGGAGACCCAGACGAAGCGGAAGAGACCGGUCGACACCGAAGAAACUGAGACCAAGGUGGAUCCCCAGUGACGAGUGGCUGAGGUGGAGCCUCGGAAGAACUGUAUAGCACAGAGAGAGAGUUA